UUUGGGAAACUUGAUAUCCUGGUAUGAUUGAGUUUUAGCAUCGUAUUAAGAAGAGAAAGACAAUUUCUUUUUGUUCAUGCUAGUUUCUAGUAGGACAAAAACUGUGUAUUUUUCUUUGUCCCAAUAAUAAUUAUGUUGUUUAGAUCAGGUGAAUAAUGCAGGAAUAAGUGGAACUAAUGUUGACCAUGAUGCUUUAGCUGCUACACG
rnacentral:sRNA from 1 species